rnacentral:rRNA from 1 species
CCUACGGGUGGCAGCAGUGGGGGAUAUUGCACAAUGGGGGAAACCCUGAUGCAGCGACGCCGCGUGGGCGAAGAAGUAUUUCGGUAUGUAAAGCCCUAUCAGCAGGGAAGAAGAAAUGACGGUACCUGAGUAAGAAGCACCGGCUAAAUACGUGCCAGCAGCCGCGGUAUUCGGAUGGUGCCAGCGUUAUCCGGAUUUACCGGGUGGAAAGGGAGCGCAGGGGGCACGGCAAGCCCGAUGUGAAAGCCCGCGGCCCAACCGCGGGACUUCAUUGGGGAAUACCGGGCUGGAGUGCCGGAGAGGUAGGCGGAAUUCCUAGUGUAGCGGUGAAAUGCGUAGAUAUUAGGAGGAACACCAGUGGCGAAGGCGGCCUACUGGACGGUGACUGACGCUGAGGCUCGAAAGCGUGGGGAGCAAACAGGAUUAGAUACCCUGGUAGUC